rnacentral:sRNA from 1 species
AUAGUCCGCCCAGUGGAACGCCCCGGAACCCGGGCACCAUCACGGCUACGCUGACCGGGUGCGCUCUCCGCAUGUAGGGCGCAAAGCCGACAGCCGUCGCACCUCAGGGAGUUUUCCAUG